rnacentral:rRNA from 1 species
GGUCAAGUGAAGAAGCGCAUACGGUGGAUGCCUUGGCAGUCAGAGGCGAUGAAAGACGUGGUAGCCUGCGAAAAGCUUCGGGGAGUCGGCAAACAGACUUUGAUCCGGAGAUCUCUGAAUGGGGGAACCCACCUAGGAUAACCUAGGUAUCUUGUACUGAAUCCAUAGGUGCAAGAGGCGAACCAGGGGAACUGAAACAUCUAAGUACCCUGAGGAAAAGAAAUCAACCGAGAUUCCCUUAGUAGUGGCGAGCGAACGGGGAUUAGCCCUUAAGCUUCAUUGAUUUUAGCGGAACGCUCUGGAAAGUGCGGCCAUAGUGGGUGAUAGCCCCGUACGCGAAAGGAUCUUUGAAGUGAAAUCGAGUAGGACGGAGCACGAGAAACUUUGUCUGAACAUGGGGGACCAUCCUCCAAGGCUAAAUACUACUGACUGACCGAUAGUGAACCAGUACCGUGAGGGAAAGGCGAAAAAGAACCCCGGAGAGGGGAGUGAAAUAGAACCUGAAACCGUAUGCGUACAAGCAGUGGGAGCCUACUUGUUAGGUGACUGCGUACCUUUUGUAUAAUGGGUCAGCGACUUAUAUUCAGUGGCAAGCUUAACCGUAUAGGGUAGGCGUAGCGAAAGCGAGUCUUAAUAGGGCGUUUAGUCGCUGGGUAUAGACCCGAAACCGGGCGAUCUAUCCAUGAGCAGGUUGAAGGUUAGGUAACACUGACUGGAGGACCGAACCCACUCCCGUUGAAAAGGUAGGGGAUGACUUGUGGAUCGGAGUGAAAGGCUAAUCAAGCUCGGAGAUAGCUGGUUCUCCUCGAAAGCUAUUUAGGUAGCGCCUCAUGUAUCACUCUGGGGGGUAGAGCACUGUUUCGGCUAGGGGGUCAUCCCGACUUACCAAACCGAUGCAAACUCCGAAUACCCAGAAGUGCCGAGCAUGGGAGACACACGGCGGGUGCUAACGUCCGUCGUGAAAAGGGAAACAACCCAGACCGCCAGCUAAGGUCCCAAAGUUGUGGUUAAGUGGUAAACGAUGUGGGAAGGCUUAGACAGCUAGGAGGUUGGCUUAGAAGCAGCCACCCUUUAAAGAAAGCGUAAUAGCUCACUAGUCGAGUCGGCCUGCGCGGAAGAUGUAACGGGGCUCAAACCACACACCGAAGCUGCGGGUGUCACGUAAGUGACGCGGUAGAGGAGCGUUCUGUAAGCCUGUGAAGGUGAGUUGAGAAGCUUGCUGGAGGUAUCAGAAGUGCGAAUGCUGACAUGAGUAACGACAAUGGGUGUGAAAAACACCCACGCCGAAAGACCAAGGGUUCCUGCGCAACGUUAAUCGACGCAGGGUUAGUCGGUUCCUAAGGCGAGGCUGAAAAGCGUAGUCGAUGGGAAACAGGUUAAUAUUCCUGUACUUCUGGUUACUGCGAUGGAGGGACGGAGAAGGCUAGGCCAGCUUGGCGUUGGUUGUCCAAGUUUAAGGUGGUAGGCUGAAAUCUUAGGUAAAUCCGGGGUUUCAAGGCCGAGAGCUGAUGACGAGUCGUCUUUUAGAUGACGAAGUGGUUGAUGCCAUGCUUCCAAGAAAAGCUUCUAAGCUUCAGGUAACCAGGAACCGUACCCCAAACCGACACAGGUGGUCGGGUAGAGAAUACCAAGGCGCUUGAGAGAACUCGGGUGAAGGAACUAGGCAAAAUGGCACCGUAACUUCGGGAGAAGGUGCGCCGGCUAGGGUGAAGGAUUUACUCCGUAAGCUCUGGCUGGUCGAAGAUACCAGGCCGCUGCGACUGUUUAUUAAAAACACAGCACUCUGCAAACACGAAAGUGGACGUAUAGGGUGUGACGCCUGCCCGGUGCCGGAAGGUUAAUUGAUGGGGUUAGCGCAAGCGAAGCUCUUGAUCGAAGCCCCGGUAAACGGCGGCCGUAACUAUAACGGUCCUAAGGUAGCGAAAUUCCUUGUCGGGUAAGUUCCGACCUGCACGAAUGGCGUAACGAUGGCGGCGCUGUCUCCACCCGAGACUCAGUGAAAUUGAAAUCGCUGUGAAGAUGCAGUGUAUCCGCGGCUAGACGGAAAGACCCCGUGAACCUUUACUGUAGCUUUGCACUGGACUUUGAGCCUGCUUGUGUAGGAUAGGUGGGAGGCUUUGAAGCGUGGACGCCAGUUCGCGUGGAGCCAUCCUUGAAAUACCACCCUGGCAUGCUUGAGGUUCUAACUCUGGUCCGUAAUCCGGAUCGAGGACAGUGUAUGGUGGGCAGUUUGACUGGGGCGGUCUCCUCCUAAAGAGUAACGGAGGAGUACGAAGGUGCGCUCAGACCGGUCGGAAAUCGGUCGCAGAGUAUAAAGGCAAAAGCGCGCUUGACUGCGAGACAGACACGUCGAGCAGGUACGAAAGUAGGUCUUAGUGAUCCGGUGGUUCUGUAUGGAAGGGCCAUCGCUCAACGGAUAAAAGGUACUCCGGGGAUAACAGGCUGAUACCGCCCAAGAGUUCAUAUCGACGGCGGUGUUUGGCACCUCGAUGUCGGCUCAUCACAUCCUGGGGCUGAAGCCGGUCCCAAGGGUAUGGCUGUUCGCCAUUUAAAGUGGUACGCGAGCUGGGUUUAGAACGUCGUGAGACAGUUCGGUCCCUAUCUGCCGUGGACGUUUGAGAUUUGAGAGGGGCUGCUCCUAGUACGAGAGGACCGGAGUGGACGAACCUCUGGUGUUCCGGUUGUCACGCCAGUGGCAUUGCCGGGUAGCUAUGUUCGGAAAAGAUAACCGCUGAAAGCAUCUAAGCGGGAAACUUGCCUCAAGAUGAGAUCUCACUGGGAACUUGAUUCCCCUGAAGGGCCGUCGAAGACUACGACGUUGAUAGGCUGGGUGUGUAAGCGUUGUGAGGCGUUGAGCUAACCAGUACUAAUUGCCCGUGAGGCUUGACCAU